UUCAAGAGUACGUGAAACCGUCCAGGGGUAAACCUGCGAAACUCGAAUGAACGAACGGGGAGAUUCAUCGUCAUUCCGCGGCGCGACGGCGCACGGCGGAUGGUCGCGGCCUCGGCCGCGGUCACCGCCCGCGUCGUCCGCGUCCGCGGAGGGCGUGCACUUCUCCCUCAGUAAUACAUCGCGACCCGUUCGAUGUCGGUCUAAGUGCCCCGCCGGGAGCCUGCGCGUCGUUCGCGACGUGCAGACCGGCCGGGUGCACCGACCGGCCGUCGGACGGUAGAACAUAUGAAACGCUCACGCGCUUGUGCGCGUCCGGCCCGACGCAAGUCAACGUCGUAUCUUGCGCCCUGCCAAAGUGCGGACGCGAGUGCGGCGCGACUGUCGUCGCAGCCGUGCUGUCUCGGACCGUGUGCGUAUCCGUCUGCGAUGAUUCAGUUUCGGGCACUCGCAGGACCCGUAU
rnacentral:rRNA from 1 species